rnacentral:tRNA from 2 species
GGAGACGUGGCCGAGUGGUCGAAGGCACACCCCUGCUAAGGGUGCAGGCCCGAAAGGGCCUCGAGGGUUCGAAUCCCUUCGUCUCCGCCA